rnacentral:rRNA from 1 species
GAUGAACGCUAGCGGCAGGCCUAAUACAUGCAAGUCGAACGGUAACAUGAGUAGCAAUACUUGAUGACGAGUGGCGCACGGGUGCGUAACGCGUAUGCAAUCUACCUUUAACUGGUGAAUAGCCCGAAGAAAUUCGGAUUAAUACACCAUAGUAUAUUGAGGAGGCAUCUCCUUAAUAUUAAAACUCCGGUGGUUAAAGAUGAGCAUGCGUGACAUUAGCUAGUUGGUGAGGUAACGGCUCACCAAGGCAACGAUGUCUAGGGGAUCUGAGAGGAUUAACCCCCACACUGGUACUGAGACAGGGACCAGACUCCUACGGGAGGCAGCAGUAAGGAAUAUUGGACAAUGGUCGCAAGACUGAUCCAGCCAUGCCGCGUGAAGGAUGACGGCCCUAUGGGUUGUAAACUUCUUUUGUACGGGAAAAUACCCUUCUACGUGUAGAGGGCUGAUUGUACCGUAAGAAUAAGGAUCGGCUAACUCCGUGCCAGCCGCCGCAGUAA